UUGCCUCUCUUUUCAAAACCCUAUUUUCUCCAUCUUCUCCACCGUUCCUAUCAUGUCUCGUUUUCCAUCUUCUCCACUAUGGCUGUCGUUCCCCAACAACAUUUUCUCCUUCGCGCGCCUUUGCAUCUUCUCCACUAUAACUUUCGUUCCCAACCCUAAUCUCGCCUUCACUGCUAGUUCAUUUUGCAUUUUUCAUCUUCUGAAAACGCACCCAACCCUAGUUUCGUCUUCACCGCUGGUUCAUUUGGCAUUUUGCAUCUUCUGAAAACGCAAAAAGGGUGAAAAAACAUCAUUUAGAUCCUAAUAUUAGUGUUCCCCACUUCUCUUUUCCAUCCAGCACUCUUGUUGCAGAAGUGAGGAAAAAGUGGUUGCCUUGGACACUUCUUUCGUCGUUCUCUGGAUUUGACUAUUGUUUUAUCAACACUUCUACCUGUGAUAUCUAUGAGUAAUGACGGCAAAGAUCAAUCAGAUUUCUCUGUGGGACUAAAGUAUGACAAAAACAUUGCUGGAAGGAGUUGUUAAGAGACAAGUAUAAGAGCAUAAAGUUGAGGAGUUUAAUGCCAUGGGAAAGGGAAGCGUAACCGGAAGCUGCUAAGCAUUAAUAUUGGAAGAUGUUAGCUCUGAUGAUAAUUAUGAAGCAAAGCUUACUGAUGGUGAUUCAAAUUCCAUUGGAACUGGAACUACUGCUGCUAAAAGGCCUUGUAAGAUAAAACCAUAUACAGAUAGCACAGGGCCAUUUCCUCUAAUGCAAGGUGAAGGAAAAACAUUCAAUUGGGUUGGAGUAGUAUCUACAAUUCAUAGAGAUGAGGAACAAUUUGGGAGAAACCCCAGUUUACAGAGCAGCUGCUCUUGGGAAGACAGACUUGCUCAGCUUUUUCCCAUGGGUUAUUGUGAUUAUUUGAAGAAGAUGAGAAAGAGUAGUGAAUGGGAUGAUCAUGUCACAUUACAGCGGCUACAGAUUGUGUACGAGAAAAAUAAACGUUUUCCAUUUUAUUUUGCCUCUCCUAUAAUAGUUUUCUUCUUUUUUUAUUGUCUAUGUUACCUAAUGCCUUUGCAGACGUAGUUGAGAUUUCAAUGUAGAAAAUCUUUCUGAAUGUAUUAGUUAAACAAAAUAACAUUGGUCUUUUGGGCAUUUAUUUUGUUAUGUUCAGAGAGAAAUAAGAGAAGAGUUUUCGUAUUCUCAGGUACAAUGAAUUAGCCAACUUCCAAUAGGUGAGCUAGAACCAGAACUAAGUAUCAUGUUGGCAGAUAUCUCCAUUCAUACCACAUAAUUACAGAGAAAGUAGUUUAUCCACUACUAUUUUUGUGUUUUUGUUUAUACACCGUGUAAUUUUAUUACUAUUACUUAAACUUGCAUGUAAGUGAAU